AAACAUCGCCUCUUGCCAAAAUAUAAGAGGUCCCGCCUGCCCAGUGACAGGAUUUAACGGCCGCGGUACUCUGACCGUGCGAAGGUAGCACAAUCACUUGUUCUUUAAAUGAGGACUAGAAUCAAUGGCGUCACGAGGGUUCCACUGUCUCCUUUUUCUAAUCAGUGAAAUUGAUUUCCCCGUGAAGAAGCGGGGAUAAUAAUAUAAGACGAGAAGACCCCAUGGAGCUUCAAACUCAACGAAUAACUCUACAACUUACUAGAUAUCUUAAGAGACCUAUCCGUUAGUUUUGGGUUGGGGUGACCACGGAGAACAACCUAACCUCCGUAAUGAAAAGAAUAAAAUCAUAAUCUAAGAGCUACACCUCUAAGAAUUAACAAAUUAACAUACAAUGAUCCAAUUUUAUUGAUCAAUGAACCAAGUUACCCUGGGGAUAACAGCGCUAUCCACUUCUAGAGUUCAUAUCGCCAAGUG
rnacentral:rRNA from 1 species